rnacentral:rRNA from 1 species
AGUGAACGCUGGCGGUAGGCCUAACACAUGCAAGUCGAACGGCAGCACAGGAGAGCUUGCUCUCUGGGUGGCGAGUGGCGGACGGGUGAGGAAUACAUCGGAAUCUACUCUGUCGUGGGGGAUAACGUAGGGAAACUUACGCUAAUACCGCAUACGACCUACGGGUGAGAGCAGGGGACCUUCGGGCCUUGCGCGAUUGAAUGAGCCGAUGUCGGAUUAGCUAGUUGGCGGGGUAAAGGCCCACCAAGGCGAAGAUCCGUAGCUGGUCUGAGAGGAUGAUCAGCCACACUGGAAAUGAGACACGGUCCAGACUCCUACGGGAGGCAGCAGUGGGGAAUAUUGGACAAUGGGCGCAAGCCUGAUCCAGCCAUACCGCGUGGGUGAAGAAGGCCUUCGGGUUGUAAAGCCCUUUUGUUGGGAAAGAAAUCCAGCUGGCUAAUACCCGGUUGGGAUGACGGUACCCAAAGAAUAAGCACCGGCUAACUUCGUGCCAGCAGCCGCGGUAA